rnacentral:tRNA from 1 species
ACUAUUUUGACAGAUAAAUGUGAUGGUUUUAGAAGCCAUUAAUAUAUAAUGUAAUUAUAUAGAUAGUA